rnacentral:rRNA from 1 species
GUGUACAAGUCUCUUGGAACAGAGCGUCAUAGAGGGUGAGAAUCCCGUCUUUGACACGGACUACCAGUGCUAUGUGAUGCGCUCUCAAAGAGUCGAGUUGUUUGGGAAUGCAGCUCAAAAUGGGUGGUAAAUUCCAUCUAAAGCUAAAUAUUGGCGAGAGACCGAUAGCGAACAAGUACCGUGAGGGAAAGAUGAAAAGCACUUUGGAAAGAGAGUUAAACAGUACGUGAAAUUGCUGAAAGGGAAACGCUUGAAGUCAGUCGCGUUUGCUAGUACUCAACCUGUCUUUUGACUGGUGCAUUUACUAGUGAACGGGCCAGCAUCAGUUUUGGUUGCGGGAUAAAGUCUAGAGAAAUGUGGCAUCUUCGGAUGUGUUAUAGUCUCUGGUCGUAUACCGUGGCUGGGACUGAGGAUCUCAGCACGCCUUUAUGGCGGGGGUUUUACCCACCUUCGUGCUUCGGAUGCUGGCGUAAUGGCUUUAAACGACCCGUCUUGAAACACGGACCAAGGAGUCUAACAUGCCUGCGAGUGUUUGGGUGGAAAACCCGAGCGCGUAAUGAAAGUGAAAGUUGGGAUCUCUGUCGUGGAGAGCACCGACGCCCGGACCAGACCUUCUGUGACGGUUCCGCGGUAGAGCAUGUAUGUUGGGACCCGAAAGAUGGUGAACUAUGCCUGAAUAGGGUGAAGCCAGAGGAAACUCUGGUGGAGGCUCGUAGCGAUUCUGACGUGCAAAUUGAUCGUCA